rnacentral:rRNA from 1 species
UGGCGGACGGGUGAGUAAUGUCUGGGAAACUGCCCGAUGGAGGGGGAUAACUACUGGAAACGGUAGCUAAUACCGCAUAACGUCGCAAGACCAAGAGGGGACCUUCGGGCCUCUUGCCAUCGGAUGUGCCCAGAUGGGAUUAGCUAGUAGGUGGGGUAACGGCUCACCUAGGCGACGAUCCCUAGCUGGUCUGGGAGGAUGACCAGCCACACUGGAACUGAGACACGGUCCAG